UGGGGCAGGCUAAUCCGCCCAGGGUAAGUCGGGACCUAAGGCGAGGCCGACAGGCGUAGUCGAUGGACAACGGGUUGAUAUUCCCGUACCCGCUGGUAUGCGCCAACGCUGAACCCUCUGAUGCUAAGACUCCGAAUCCCGGUCGGUGCCUUCGGGCGCUGGUCGGGCCUAGCGGUCGGCCCGAGGGGGUAGUAGGUGAGUGAUGGGGUGACGCAGGAGGGUAGCUCAGCCCAGGCGAUGGUUGUCCUGGGGUAAGCAUGUAGCCCGCGCUGUAGGCAAAUCCGCAGCGCAUUCAAGGGUGAGAUG
rnacentral:rRNA from 1 species